UUUUACUUGACGCUACUUUCGGAAACUCGAAAAUCCCAAAAUGUUUUACACAUUUAGGAAAAUAUUAUCUAAGUAUAUAUGAAACUGGAAAAAUUUAUUUCGGUUAAAAUUAACAAAUCUAAAAAAAAAAUAAGUUAAAACAUGAAGUGUCGUGAAAUAAUUGUGUUUGUAGGCAAA